rnacentral:rRNA from 1 species
GACGAACGCUGGCGGCGUGGAUUAGGCAUGCAAGUCGAACGGUAUCAUCCUUUCGGGGGUGAGAGAGUGGCGAACUGGUGAGUAACACGUAGGUUAUCUACCCUCAAGACGGGGACAACCCAGGGAAACUUGGGCUAAUACCGGAUGUGAGCAACUUUUAGUUGUUUGAAAGGUGGCGUAAGCUGUCGCUUGGGGAUGAGCCUGCGUCCUAUUAGUUAGUUGGUGAGGUAACGGCUCACCUAGGGCAAUGAUAGGUAGGCGGCCUUAACGGGUGGUCGCCCACACUGGGAUUGAGAUACGGCCCAGACUCCUACGGGAGGCAGCAGUCGAGAAUAGUCUACAAUGGUCGGAAGACUGAUAGUGCGACGCCGCGUGAACGAUGAAUCCCUUCGGGGUGUAAAGUUCUUUUAUAUGUGAGCAGUGCUUCUUAUAUUAACAGUAUGGGGAAGAGAUAUUAGCAUAUGAAUAAGCAACGGCUAAACUCCGUGCCAGCACGCCGACGGUAAAAUCC